rnacentral:misc_RNA from 1 species
GUGAAUCAUCGAAUUUUUGAACGAAAAUUGCACUGUCUUCGGAGAGUGUGCCUGUUUGAGGGUCAGUCUAUAAAAAAAAGACAUCGUUGCUGUUUCGCGGGGGCGUUUGUCGGAAAUUGGGUUAACUUAAAUCCUUUUGGGUUUUAAGAGCUGUAAAAUUUUGUUUUUGGUUCGAUGAACGUUUGUUAGAUUUAUUUAUUUAAAGGUUUUAGGUAUAGAUACUUUUUAGACGUGACCAUCAU